rnacentral:lncRNA from 1 species
GGAGCCAAUCGCUAGUGUGUGUGACUAAAGAAAAAUACUGUCUAAAUUUUUUUUGAACUCUCAACAUACUGUUUGAUUACUGUAAUGACCUAUAGAAUUACUUGCAUUUCUCAAACAGUCUAUACUGAACAAUCAAUUCAUCAAUGUACAUAAUUCUUCCACCUAUAUAAAAAUAUAUAAAUAUACAGAUAUAGUAGAAUAUGUACAUUAAUCAAAAGAUGGGUCUAUGAUUUCAUGCAAUGUAAAUUUUUUUAAAAUCAAUAUAUAAUUAAUUAUUUAAAUUAAUAUCCAAUUAUAGGAUGUCGUAAAAUAUGCACUCGACACUUGCGUGAGGACUGGUUGCCUUAGACACCGAUUGGGACCC